rnacentral:rRNA from 1 species
ACUCCGAGACCGUCGAGCCGCAAGGUUCUGUUGAUUCUACACUGACUAGAAAAGCUCCUACGCUUAGCACAUGUGAACCGUACCGUAAACCAACUCAGGUGGAUGGGUGUAAAUGCACCAAGGCGCUCGAGAGAACUCUGGUUAAGGAACUCGGCAAAAUAACCCCGUAACUUCGGGAGAAGGGGUGCUUUUUCAGGUGAACUAUUUACUAGGUAAGCCCGGAAAAGCCACAGAAAAUUGGCGGUGGCGACUGUUUACUAAAAACAUAGGUCUGUGCUAAGUCGUAAGACGACGUAUACGGACUGACGCCUGCCCGGUGCUGGAAGGUUAAAAGGAGAGGUCAGCGCAAGCGAAGCUUUGAAUUGAAGCCCCAGUAAACGGCGGCCGUAACUAUAACGGUCCUAAGGUAGCGAAAUUCCUUGUCGGGUAAGUUCCGACCUGCACGAAUGGCGUAACGAUCUCCGCACUGUCUCAACCAGAGACUCGGUGAAAUUGAAGUGGCGGUGAAAAUGCCGUCUACCCGCAGCGUGACGGAAAGACCCUGUGCACCUUUACUAUAGCUUGACAUUGGGUCUUGGGGCAGCAUGUGUAGGAUAGGUGGGAGACUAUGAACCCGGUACGCUAGUAUCGGCGGAGUCAACCUUGAAAUACCACCCUUGCUGGUCUAAGACUCUAAUCCUAGCCUGUUAUCCAGGUAGGAGACAUUGUCUGGUGGGUAGUUUGACUGGGGCGGUCGCCUCCCAAAUAAUAACGGAGGCACGCAAAGGUUCCCUCAGGCUGAUUGGAAACCAGCCGUUGAGUGCAAACGCAUAAGGGAGCUUGACUGCAAGAGUGACAGCUCGAGCAGGGACGAAAGUCGGUGUUAGUGAUCCGGUGGUCCCGAAUGGAAGGGCCAUCGCUCAUUGGAUAAAAGGUACGCCGGGGAUAACAGGCUGAUCGCAUCCAAGAGUCCAUAUCGACGAUGCGGUUUGGCACCUCGAUGUCGGCUCAUCACAUCCUGGGGCUGAAGCAGGUCCCAAGGGUACGGCUGUUCGCCGUUUAAAGUGGUACGCGAGCUGGGUUUAAAACGUCGUGAGACAGUUUGGUCCCUAUCUGCUGUGGGCGCAAGAUAUUUGAGAGGGCCUGUUCCUAGUACGAGAGGACCGGAAUGGACGAACCUCUGGUGAGCCUGUUGUUCCGCCAGGAGCAUAGCAGGGUAGCUACGUUCGGAAGGGAUAACCGCUGAAAGCAUCUAAGCGGGAAGCCUGCCUCAAGAUAAGAUAUCUCUCCGUAAGGUGAAGACCCCUGGUAGACCACCAGGUUGAUAGGCUGGGUGUGGAAGAGCAGCAAUGCUUGGAGCUUACCAGUACUAAUAGGUCGAAAUCUUGAUAC